GUGACCGGCGGCGCGCGUGGUGCUCUUUCGAUCUCGGCCGGCCGGUUUGACGUCGAGGUGUCGCGCGCGUUUGCGACGAUGAAAAACCGCCACUUCCGUAGUUUCCUCGCUCACUCGAUGGAGAAGGGAUCGGGCCGUCGCCGAGCGGUGGUUCAUUAUCUGGUGCGAAGCGCGCGGUGCAUGUCGAGCGCCUUUGCGGGCG